rnacentral:ncRNA from 1 species
AAGGUGGCGGUUGCUGCUGCGGGGAUAAUAGGGAAUCAGGUGGGAGUCCUGAACGAUCCGGUCACUGUGAACAGGGAGUGUUGUCAUGGGAUGCCAUUGCAUGGAGAGAUCAUGUGAGAAGGUUUGACAAGGCGAUGAUCUGUGAGUCAGAAAACCUGCUGGGAAAGU